ACCUCAGGUUAGCUACCUCAGG
rnacentral:siRNA from 1 species